GAGAUUCCCCCAGUAGCGGCGAGCGAACGGGGAGGAGCCCAGAGCCUGAAUCAGUGUGUGUGUUAGUGGAAGCGUCUGGAAAGGCGCGCGAUACAGGGUGACAGCCCCGUACACAAAAAUGCACAUAUUGUGAGCUCGAUGAGUAGGGCGGGACACGUGGUAUCCUGUCUGAAUAUGGGGGGACCAUCCUCCAAGGCUAAAUACUCCUGACUGACCGAUAGUGAACCAGUACCGUGAGGGAAAGGCGAAAAGAACCCCGGCGAGGGGAGUGAAAAAGAACCUGAAACCGUGUACGUACAAGCAGUGGGAGCCUCUUAAUGGGGUGACUGCGUACCUUUUGUAUAAUGGGUCAGCGACUUAUAUUCUGUAGCAAGGUUAACCGAAUAGGGGAGCCGAAGGGAAACCGAGUCUUAACUGGGCGUUAAGUUGCAGGGUAUAGACCCGAAACCCGGUGAUCUAGCCAUGGGCAGGUUGAAGGUUGGGUAACACUAACUGGAGGACCGAACCGACUAAUGUUGAAAAAUUAGCGGAUGACUUGUGGCUGGGGGUGAAAGGCCAAUCAAACCGGGAGAUAGCUGGUUCUCCCCGAAAGCUAUUUAGGUAGCGCCUCGUGAAUUCAUCUCCGGGGGUAGAGCACUGUUUCGGCAAGGGGGUCAUCCCGACUUACCAACCCGAUGCAAACUGCGAAUACCGGAGAAUGUUAUCACGGGAGACACACGGCGGGUGCUAACGUCCGUCGUGAAGAGGGAAACAACCCAGACCGCCAGCUAAGGUCCCAAAGUCAUGGUUAAGUGGGAAACGAUGUGGGAAGGCCCAGACAGCCAGGAUGUUGGCUUAGAAGCAGCCAUCAUUUAAAGAAAGCGUAAUAGCUCACUGGUCGAGUCGGCCUGCGCGGAAGAUGUAACGGGGCUAAACCAUG
rnacentral:rRNA from 1 species